GCUUGUGUAGCUUAAACCCAAAGCAUAACCCUGAAGCGGUUAAGAUAAUACUAAAAGUUUUCACAAGCA
rnacentral:tRNA from 1 species